CCUACGGGAGGCAGCAGUGAGGAAUAUUGGUCAAUGGCCGGAAGGCUGAACCAGCCAUGCCGCGUGAAGGUCAGUGCCCUAUGGGCGUUAAACUUCUUUUGUGCGGGAGCAAUAAUGGUCACGUGUGGCCAGACGAGAGUACCGUACGAAUAAGCAUCGGCUGACUCCGUGCCAGCAGCCGCGGUAAUACGGGGGAUGCAAGCGUUAUCCGGAUUUAUUGGGUUUAAAGGGUGCGUAGGCUGUGAGGUAAGUCAGCGGGGAAAUGCCCCCGCUCAACGGGGUGAAGUGCCAUUGAUACUGCCUUGCUGGAAUGCGGAUGCGGUGGGAGGAAUGUGUGGUGUAGCGGUGAAAUGCAUAGAUAUCACACAGAACACCGAUUGCGAAGGCAUCUCACGAAGCCGCGAUUGACGCUGAUGCACGAAAGCGUGGGUAUCAAACAGGAUUAGAUACCCUAGUAGUC
rnacentral:rRNA from 1 species